rnacentral:rRNA from 1 species
UGCCAGACUCCUACGGGAGGCAGCAGUGGGGAAUCUUCCGCAAUGGGCGAAAGCCUGACGGAGCAACGCCGCGUGAUCGAAUGAAGGCCUUCGGGUUGUAAAGAUCUGUUGACAGGGACGAAUAAGCAAUGCGAAUAGUUUUGUGUAUGACGGUACCUGUUUAGAAAGCUCCGGCUAACUACGUGCCAGCAGCCGCGGUCAUACGUAGGAUCCGAGCAUUAUCCGGAGUGACUGGGUGUAAAGAGUUGCGUAGGUGGCAUAAUAAGUAGCUAGUGAAAUCUGGUGGCUCAACCAUUCAGACUAUUAGCUAAACUGUUAAGCUCGAGACCGUGAGGGGUAACUGGAAUUUCUAGUGUAGGAGUGAAAUCCGUAGAUAUUAGAAGGAACACCAAUAGCGUAGGCAGGUUACUGGGACGGUUCUGACACUAAGGCACGAAAGCGUAGGGAGCAAACGGGAUUAGAUACCCCAGUA